GAAUUAGUGAGGGCUUUGGACUGCUGCUGAAUCAAUUUUGCCAGUAGUUUAUAUCAAAAGAACCAAAGACUUCAAUUUUUUAACAUUAAACUAUGAGAUUGUCUUCAGGGUUACACCAUGUUACCCACAGUACUGCAUAGCUAGGAAGUAAUAAUGUAGGCUGGAAUGGAGCUCCAUGAAGAAGUCUUUUCUUUAGGCUGAGUAGACAGAGAUCCUGACCGUUGGAGAAGGGUUACGAGUACAAGUUUAUUAAACGUGGUCUUUGAGCUGUAUCAGGCCAGUGUGUAUGCAGCCUUUUGGGGAAGAAGAGCGAGUUGCACCAACUGAAUGCCAAGUGCAUUGUGAAUGCCUGGUCCUGUGGCUCCCAUUUCAGAUCAAGUCUGGCCAGGGAUGAUUAUGGAGCAGGCUGCUGUGGCAGAGCUCCAUGAUGUGUAAAAGCGAAACUAUUCUGUGAGGAGACUUGGGAUUGCUUGGGGUAAGGAAGACAAAGGAUCUUGUCAGAGGGGGGAAAGCAGUUUCUGCAUGCAUUCAGCUACCAGUAACUUCAGUUAGUACCUUGUCUGGAGUGUUCCUGCAACUAUCAUUUUUUCUCUUCUCUAGAACUGACUGCUUUCUCAAAUCUAUCUUUGCAAGCAGACUACCUUCCCAUCAAAUUGGGGAAAAUGAUACACAAAUUAAAAAAAAAAAAAAAAAGCAGCUUUCAUCUUUUUAUUGCUGUUCUAACAGCCUCUCUAAACCUCCAGUAUCUGAGGAGAAAGCAUCAUAUCUUCAGUUGGAAAAUAAGAAGCAACCUUAAUUCUUAUACAAGGCAGAUGUACAGACUUGCCUAGAAGACAGUAUCAAAAGAACUUGCUAAUUUUUAUUAUUUUCACGCAGUGGAAUGCAUUAAAUUACUUUUCAUAACUCUGAAAUUGUUAUUGUUCAUCUGUUACUGGAGAUCAGUGGGAAUAUUGUGUUUCCUGGUGCCCAACACUCGGGGUUUUCAUGGAAAGAGG
rnacentral:lncRNA from 1 species